rnacentral:lncRNA from 1 species
GGAUCCGGCUACUAUACUAUUAUGAGUACGAUCGUCCUCGUACUCAUAAGUUGUUUUCGAUGAUAGAGCUUCCGAAUCGAUGAUCCACACCGUUAAACGUUAUUUACAGCAUUUAAAACUUCUAGAAAUCAGAUUUUAUAAUUUUUCGACAUCAUUUACCUUACGAUCAAGAGGUCACAAAUUUGACAAUUUUUAACGGCCGGUAUGGGAUACUUGCUAGUUUAACGGUGUAAAAGAAUCGAAAUUUCUUGAAUUUUUGAUAGAAAAUUCUAUUCACUACAUAGAUAAAGAUCAAUAACUCCGAUCUUGAAUUGAAAGAUCCGAAGUCAUCCUUUUUUAGGACGUCGUUCGAUUUUGGACCGUUCAUUUUAUGCCCACUUGAUUGACUUUAUUAUUGAUUUCGAAAAUUUACGAAAUUUAUUUUCUAGAAGUUUCAAAUACUCUAGAUCAUAUUUAACGGAGUGGAUCGUCGAUUCGGAAGCUCACAUCAUUAAAAUAAUUAUGAGUACGAGGGCUCCAAUACUUAAAUAGUAUAGUAGCCAUAGCCUAUAUAUAUAACUAAUAUAUAUAUGAGUUGGGGCUGGAAUAUUAUUGAUAGUAUGUGGCCCUCUUUUGCUAUCAAGUUUUUGGCCUUUGAUCAAUGCCUUGAAUCAUUUUCUAACUAUUUGAUUAAAUAUUAUAACCCCAGUGGAGACUACUCAAUUCUAAGAGAUUAAUAUCAUCUUAAACCUAUAAUUUCUCAUACAAGGAUUAAAAAUUUGAUAGCAAAAGUUGUCAAAUAAUAUCGAUAGUAUUUCAACGGUUAAAAUGAUCAAUGGAAUAAAUAUAAGGGCCGAAAACUUAUGAGUAUAAGGAAGUCCAAUACUCAUAAAGAUAUAGUAGCUGGACUCCCCUCUCUCUCUCUUCACCCCCCUUUCUCCUCUCUUCUCUCUCUCUCUCUCUCUAAUAUAUAUAUAUAUAGUCUGGCUACUAUACCAUUAUGAGUACGAUCGCCCUGCAUACUCAUGAAGUUGUUUUCGAUGAUAGAGCUUCCUAAUCGAUGAUCCACACGUUAAACGUUAUCUAGAGCAUUUGAAACAUCUAGAAAUCAAAUUUCACAAUUUUUCGUCAUCAUUUGUUCUUACGAUCAAAAGCUCACAAAAUUAACAAUUUUUAACGGCCGGUAUGGAAUACUUGCUAGUUUAACGGGUGCAAAAGGAAUCCAAAUAGGUUGAAUUUUGGAUAGAAAAUUCUAUUCACUACCUACAUAAAGAUCAAUAACUCCGAUCUUAAAUUGAAGGAUCCGAUCAUCCAUUUUUAAGAACAUCGUUCGAUUUUUGACUAUUUAUUUUAUGGCCAUGGACUUUAUUAUGAUUUCGAAAAUUACGAAUUUAUUUUCUAGAAGUUUUAAAAUACUCCUAGAUCAUAUUUAACGGAGUGGAUCGUCGAUUCGGAAGCUCAUCAUUGAAAACAACUUAUGAGUACGAAGGGCCCAAUACUCAUAAUAGUUAUAGUAGCCUCUAUAUACAUAUAUAUAUAAUACAUAUAUAUAUAUAUAUAUUAUAUAUAUAUAUAAUAUAUAUAUAUAUACUAUUAUUAUAAGAGUCCGGCUAACUAUAUCUUAUGAGUACGAUCGCCCUCGUACUCAUAAGUUAUUUUCGAUGAUAGAGAGCUUCCGAAUCGAUGAUCCAUACCGUUAAACAUUAUCUAGAGCAUUUAAAACUUCUAGAAAUCAAAUUUCAUAAUAUUUUUUACAUCAGGUAUGAGAUACUUACUAGUUUAAC